UAAGACAUGCAAGUCGAGCGGGGCUUUGGGGCUUCGGCCCCGGAGCCCAGCGGCGGACGGGUGAGUAACACGUGGAUAACCUGCCCUCUGCUCUGGGAUAACAGGCCGAAAGGCCUGCUAAUACCCGGAUAAGCUCACGGCCCCGCAUGGGGCAGGGAGAAAAGGCGCUGGAGUCAGUGGCGCUGGCAGAGGAGGGGUCCGCGGCCCAUUAGCUAGUUGGCGGGGUAACGGCCCACCAAGGCGACGAUGGGUAGCCGGCCUGAGAGGGCGGCCGGCCACACUGGGACUGAGACACGGCCCAGACUCCUACGGGAGGCAGCAGUCGGGAAUCUUGCACAAUGGGCGAAAGCCUGAUGCAGCGACGCCGCGUGAGCGAAGAAGGCCUUCGGGUUGUAAAGCUCUGUUGCCUGCGAAGAAGGGCCCUGUCAGGAAAUGGGCAGGGUUUGACGGUAGCAGGCGAGGAAGCCCCGGCAAACUACGUGCCAGCAGCCGCGGUAAUACGUAGGGGGCGAGCGUUGUCCGGAAUUACUGGGCGUAAAGGGCGUGUAGGCGGCCUGUUAAGUCAGGGGUGAAAGGCCGGGGCUCAAUCCCGGGGGUGCCCUUGAAACUGGCGGGCUUGAGUGCUCUAGAGGGCAGCGGAAUUCCCGGUGUAGCGGUGAAAUGCGUAGAGAUCGGGAGGAACACCAGUGGCGAAGGCGGCUGCCUGGGGAGUCACUGACGCUGAGGCGCGAAAGCUGGGGGAGCAAACAGGAUUAGAUACCCUGGUAGUCCCAGCCGUAAACGAUGAGUGCUAUGUGUGAGGGGUAUCGACCCUCCUCGUGCAGCAGCUAACGCAUUAAGCACUCCGCCUGGGGAGUACGGCCGCAAGGCUGAAACUCAAAGGAAUUGACGGGGGCCCGCACAAGCAGCGGAGCAUGUGGUUUAAUUCGAAGCAACGCGUAGAACCUUACCAGGGCUUGACAUGUGCGGAACCCUGCCGAAAGGCGGGGGUGCCACUCUUCGGGGUGGAGCCGCAACACAGGUGGUGCAUGGUUGUCGUCAGCUCGUGUCGUGAGAUGUUGGGUUAAGUCCCGCAACGAGCGCAACCCUCGUCGCAUGUUGCCAGCGGGUAAGGCCGGGCACUCAUGCGAGACUGCCGGUGACAAACCGGAGGAAGGUGGGGAUGUCGUCAAAUCAUCAUGCCCCUUAUGCCCUGGGCUACACACGUGCUACAAUGGCCGCUACAGAGCGUACCGAACCCGUGAGGGGGAGGCAAUCGCGAAAGGCGGUCCCAGUUCGGAUCGCAGGCUGCAACUCGCCUGCGUGAAGCCGGAGUUGCUAGUAAUCGCGGAUCAACAUGCCGCGGUGAAUACGUUCCCGGGCCUUGUACACACCGCCCGUCACACCAUGGGAGCUGGCAACACCCGAAGUCGGUGAGCUAACCCUGGAAACAGGGAGGCAGCCGCCGAAGGUGGGGCCGGUGACUGGGGGUGAAGUCGUAACAAGGUAGCCGUAUCGGAAGG
rnacentral:rRNA from 1 species